UCAUCGUGCCAGCAGCCGCGGUAAUACGUAGGGUGCGAGCGUUGUCCGGAUUUAUUGGGCGUAAAGGGCUCGUAGGUGGUUGAUCGCGUCGGAAGUGUAAUCUUGGGGCUUAACCCUGAGCGUGCUUUCGAUACGGGUUGACUUGAGGAAGGUAGGGGAGAAUGGAAUUCCUGGUGGAGCGGUGGAAUGCGCAGAUAUCAGGAGGAACACCAGUGGCGAAGGCGGUUCUCUGGGCCUUUCCUGACGCUGAGGAGCGAAAGCGUGGGGAGCGAACAGGCUUAGAUACCCUGGUAGUCCACGCUGUAAACGGUGGGUACUAGGUGUGGGGUCCAUUCCACGGGUUCCGUGCCGUAGCUAACGCUUUUAAGUACCCCGCCUGGGGAGUACGGCCGCAAGGCUA
rnacentral:rRNA from 1 species